rnacentral:rRNA from 1 species
UGCAAGUCGAACGGUGAAGCGAGAGCUUGCUCUCGUGGAUCAGUGGCGAACGGGUGAGUAACACGUGAGUAACCUGCCCCAGACUCUGGGAUAAGCCUUGGAAACGAGGUCUAAUACCGGAUACGAGACGAGAUCGCAUGGUCAUCGUCUGGAAAGAAUUUCGGUCUGGGAUGGACUCGCGGCCUAUCAGCUUGUUGGUGAGGUAAUGGCUCACCAAGGCGACGACGGGUAGCCGGCCUGAGAGGGCGACCGGCCACACUGGAACUGAGACACGGUCCAGACUCCUACGGGAGGCAGCAGUGGGGAAUAUUGCACAAUGGGCGCAAGCCUGAUGCAGCGACGCCGCGUGGGGGAUGAAGGCCUUCGGGUUGUAAACCCCUUUCAGCAGGGAAGAAGCGAAAGUGACGGUACCUGCAGAAGAAGCGCCGGCUAACUACGUGCCAGCAGCCGCGGUAAUACGUAGGGCGCAAGCGUUGUCCGGAAUUAUUGGGCGUAAAGAGCUCGUAGGCGGUCUGUCGCGUCUGCUGUGAAAACCCGAGGCUCAACCUCGGGCCUGCAGUGGGUACGGGCAGACUAGAGUGUGGUAGGGGAGACUGGAAUUCCUGGUGUAGCGGUGGAAUGCGCAGAUAUCAGGAGGAACACCAAUGGCGAAGGCAGGUCUCUGGGCCACUACUGACGCUGAGGAGCGAAAGCAUGGGGAGCGAACAGGAUUAGAUACCCUGGUAGUCCAUGCCGUAAACGGUGGGCACUAGAUGUGGGGCUCUUUCCAUGAGUUCCGCGUCGCAGCUAACGCAUUAAGUGCCCCGCCUGGGGAGUACGGCCGCAAGGCUAAAACUCAAAGGAAUUGACGGGGGCCCGCACAAGCGGCGGAGCAUGCGGAUUAAUUCGAUGCAACGCG